rnacentral:lncRNA from 1 species
ACCUCAAGGCAGCUCGUCCGCCUGUGAGGCAGGAUUUCCGAGGAGCCCACUAGGUGGUGCGUGAGCUGCGGCGAUGGUGACCGGCUGCGCUGGACCAGUCACCGCCCGCCUCCCAGGACCCCCCUCAGGCCAGAGGCCCCCAGCUCACAAGCCGGCCCUGAAUCAUCCCCGUUCCUGGGCCCGUCUCCACGUUCUUUCUCUGGGAAAGCAGGGCCCAGGCUUCUGCUCCCUCUUCAAUACAGCACACAUGAACACUUUGGGAGUGUCACCUUAAAAAUAAAAAACACAACGUGAGAGUUGAGAGUUAAGUUUUACUUGGGACAGAAUGAGGACUAGAACCUGGGUGGCAGCAUUCAGAGAGACCCAAGAAACUACUCCAAAAAACUGGGACCUCAGUGAGUCCGGACACCAGGCCAAGUGUGGAAAAGAAAGGAAGAAGGAAGAGAGGAGGCAUCCGUUGAUGAACUUCAGAUGCCAAGAUAAAGGAGACUUGCUUUUCGACGAGAUGACACUGGCCCUGCUGGUCGGGCUUCCGGGGAGAGGAGGUCUGAACUGCUCGGCUGCUGUCUACUGGCUGAUAAUGGGAUGAAAACAACACACAUCAAACAGUGAGCGGGGCUGUUAACAAGGUAGCCCUUCCUGGGAUCCUGGCGCCUUCAUCCAGUCAGGCCGGUGCCUUGAGCACCCACCCAAAAGUGGCGAGGGGAGUUCCUUGGGACCCUUCAAGUCCUAGCGUGUGGGUGAGAGCCCCCGGCUCCGGGAACGGCAAGCGGCAGGUAAGUCUUCCUGGAAGGCGCCGUCCCCCUCUCCGGGCUGGCUCUGCAGCCUUUCCCUCGGAGUCGCAGUCUAGGAAGCAGGCUCCUCGCUAAGUAUUUGGCAUUUGAUCCUCAGAACGGUCAUCUUGCCGGAACUCGGCCUCUGUUCGCUGGUGCUCAAUAGAAACGCGGAGACGGAGCUUUGGAUGAAGUAGAGAAGGCAGGCCUGAUUGCUUUGCCAGGAAGGGGGGGCCACAGCGGGCCAGGGCCCUCGGAACUUUUUGGGGGGCGGUGAGGAGUCUCACAGUGUCAAGGAGCAGGGCGUGGCCAGCUCGUGGGCGUUCUUCUGAUGGGUGGGUGGUGAGGUCACGGGGAGUCCGCGCCGUCACCCCUCUGGUUCCAGUUGGUCUGGGGUCUCCGUGCUUGUGGGCAGCACAUGGUUGGCUUCCUCCCCUUGGCGGGGGUGAACUGCUCCGAGGACAUGGCUCAGAAUAGUAUCUCUGGUCUUUGAGAAAGAAUGUAAGGUCCUUGACUUUGUUGAGUGGCUAAAGUAUUAUUUUGUCUUGCUGGACUGCUUUUCCUUUCGCUUUGCAUUUUCUCACGUCUCUGAUUAAGUUUGAUUUUUUGGACUAAAGUUUUUCUACAGACCAAAGGCAGGCAGAGGACCUGGGGGCGGGGGCGGGAUCUGUUCUGGGAAGGCCCCAUAGCGUCUGGCUCGGUUACCCUAAAGAGAGGUAUUUUUUCCCCAUUUGACAGUUGGGAGAAGGGAACCCCAACAGCAAAAAAGUCUCAGGAGGACUCAGGCCUCCUGAAACAGCAUGGCCCCUGCUGCCCCUGUGGCUUUUCUGAAGAUGCAGCCCAGUUGAGUCUGAUUUGCUGAUUAUUGCAGACCUCUGGGCAUGAAGCUCUGAAAUCGAGAAGCGGGUGUGGCUGGUGAUGAAGGUAAACCGCACAGUCAGCUCAGCUCAUGGAGAGUCCAGCGUCUGUUGUUGUUGCUUUCAUCCUCCGGGGAAGCCAGUUUUUAGUGCUCAAAGUUUAGUAAAACAAUUUCCUACACUCGUUUAAUCAUUUCCACUUUACAAACAAACUGAGGUUUCAGCAUACCAGGGGACUUGUCCUGGCUGAUUCUGCAGGUUACGGGGAGCCAGGACUUCUGACCCAAGUCUGGAGGGAUGCUUCUCUGGCUUGGAGGAUCAAUGAAAAAUCAAAUCUGAGUUGUUCCACUGAGGUGAUGGAGUGUGCGAUUACUACAGCCUCUUAGAUAUUUAAAAUCGUAUGUUGCAAAAGACCAGUCCUACCCAUUUGCUGGGUGAGCGGGUGUUGGUACCACAAGCCAUCCUCAUACUUAAGCACAGUGGAUUGGAACGUACGGCAAAUAAACAGCGUUUUUUCCUGGCUCAGUGAGGGUAACGGCUGCUUUUGAAGAAUUAUUGCAGGUGUUUCUAGGCGAUGAAUAAAGUUACUGAGGUCGUGCAGGUGGAGCAUCUAGGCAUGGAAUUUAGAAAUUUCAAGAACUCGAAAAUUUUCCUUCCACCCCCUCCAGCUUGCACAGUGAACGUGAUUAAGCGCUUCACGGGGUGGGACCCUGCGGAGGCCAGCGAGGUGGGCGACUCGGCUCCCCUCCCAGACCCCAUGUGGUCGGGAAACUGCACUGAAGGGCUCUGGCCACACUGCAGAGGGUCUCACGGUGUCCAGCGGGCCAGCUCCCAGGGGACCUAACGGAAAGAAGAAUGGACGGAUGAAAAUCCGAAAGUCCCCAGGCCGUCCUCUCCCCACAGCCCGUCUGGAGGCACCCCAGAGGCCGACUGACUCUUUGCCUCUAAAUAUUUCAUCUGUGUGGCAACGGGACAGACUCAGGUGAGAAAACUGGAGUCAGUGUCACAGGGCCAACUUGGGCAGCCCUUUGGCGAGGCCACCUGCUUGAGCAGCUGGACGAUGGUAGUUAGGGAGGUCAGACGCCUCAUCUAAGCCCUCGCUUGGCCGCUUAUGGUCUGCCCUCCGUUGUGUUGCUUUAUCAACCUGGACCUCAGUUUGCUCAUCUUUAAAAUGGGGAUACAGGAGUCCCUGGUGGCUUAGUGGUGCAUGGCUUGACUUCUGUCACUGCUGUGGCUCUGGUUGCAUCCCUGGCUGUGGAGUUUCUGCAUGCCACAGGCCCAGCCACAUACAUUUAAAAAAUAAAUAAAAUUGGGAUAUGAACAGCCCGCAGCUCAAAGGAACUGAAAAUCAAAUAGCGAGCCAAGUGUGGCAGAAUUCCACUUUCCUUGUCCACAUGAUGCAUAGAUAAUAGUUGUCUUACUUUCUAUCAUAGGAUGAUGCUGAGGGGCCAGGAAAAAAAAAAAAAA